ensembl:lncRNA
CCUACACCUGUUGUAUUCAGCAUUUCACGGUAAGGUCUACCUACACCUGUUGUAUUCAGCAUUUCACUGUAAGGUCUACUACACCUGUUGUAUUCAGCAUUUCACUGUAAGGUCUACUACACCUGUUGUAUUCAGCAUUUCACUGUAAGGUCUACUACACCUGUUGUAUUCAGCAUUUCACUGUAAGGUCUACCUACACCUGUUGUAUUCAGCAUUUCACGGUAAGGUCUACCUACACCUGUUGUAUUCAGCAUUUCACGGUAAGGUCUACCUACACCUGUUGUAUUCAGCAUUUCACGG